ensembl:ncRNA ZK40.5 ncRNA
UUGUGUUUCGAAAUUUUCUUGAGACGUGCCACCACCAAGGGUUCAGGUUCAAAUUUCAAAUUUGCAGUGAUUUAGUGAAACAGGGCUUCGGACAGAUGUAUCUACAUUGUCUAACUUCUCUAUCAUAUUCCAUUGUCUUUUCGUAGCACCUUUCAGACAGGUGCCCAGUCACUCAUGUACCUGUUGUCAGCUGGGUUAGUUGA